AAAUUGAAGAGUUUGAUCAUGGCUCAGAUUGAACGCUGGCGGCAGGCCUAACACAUGCAAGUCGAACGGUAACAGGAAGCAGCUUGCUGCUUUGCUGACGAGUGGCGGACGGGUGAGUAAUGUCUGGGAAACUGCCUGAUGGAGGGGGAUAACUACUGGAAACGGUGGCUAAUACCGCAUAACGUCGCAAGACCAAAGAGGGGGACCUUCGGGCCUCUUGCCAUCAGAUGUGCCCAGAUGGGAUUAGCUUGUUGGUGAGGUAACGGCUCACCAAGGCGACGAUCCCUAGCUGGUCUGAGAGGAUGACCAGCCACACUGGAACUGAGACACGGUCCAGACUCCUACGGGAGGCAGCAGUGGGGAAUAUUGCACAAUGGGCGC
rnacentral:rRNA from 1 species